rfam:Candidatus Magnetoovum chiemensis strain CS-04 SAG2733, whole genome shotgun sequence.
GCGGGCGUAACUCAGUGGUGGAGUGACAGCUUCCCAAGCUGUAGGUCGCGGGUUCGAGUCCCGUUGCCCGCU